rnacentral:lncRNA from 1 species
GUUAAUCCUAGAAUCAAAAAACGGUACUAAUUUAAAACUUGCUUAAUGAAAUUUAGCCAGUUUUGCUGGUAGUGUUAAUAAAGUGUAUUUUUUCCAAACCUAUAACCCAGUGGAAGUGGUAUGCAUUGUAAUUUCCUUCCUCCUUUGUUAUAGUCUUGGUCUCUUUCCAUCUUUAUCAGACUCUCUGUCCCUUUGUUUCAGCUCCAAAGGGGAAGAGUGACUUGAUUAGGGUUUUCUCUCCUAUGAGCCUCACCUCACUCCCUCAUCCCACUUCCCAGUAUCUUCAGGAUGCUAGUAAAUAAUGACCCAGAACUUAAGUUUACAAUCCUGUCCGUGGUGACAUAUAACAAGCAUGAGCUCAGCCUGCACGCAGGCGCUUCAGGUCUUUGUUGUUGUGUCUAAAGGAUGUAUAAGUGCAGACCCACACUGGACUGCAUUCCAGCCACUCUGGUUUUCACUGUUGGCUGUUCUUGGGCCCUGCCCCCAGCUAGUUUAUUUAGGGUGUUUAUUAUGGAAUUUGCCAAGUCCUAUGGAUCAGAUUAUACACUAACUUUUUAUAUAUAUAUAUAUAUAUAUAUUUUUUUGUAUGUAUAUAUGAUUAUACAUUGAUGUGUGUGCAUGUGUGUCUGGAAAAAAUAUAUACAUUUAUGUAUAUAUGUGUACACACACACACACACACACACACACACUGAUAUCUAAAAACUUUAGUUUGUCUUGACAUCAUUAGGCUUUGUUUUAGUAUUUGUGUAUGUGCCAAAAUUUGGCAUAGAUUUUUCUCUUCUAAGUAGUCUAUGGAAAGCACAAUUUUUAUAUUUAUUGUACCUUUCUCUUUAGUUCAUGAAGACACGAAAACUUACUCAUAAAGUUAGGGAUUUUGUUUCAUUUUUGAAACUGAGGGUAUUAAGUGACAGUAACUGUCCUUUCAAAAAAAAUCCUACGUUUUAAAAUUUUAGUUUCCAGACUACUGUGUGUUGGGGGGGGG